rnacentral:rRNA from 1 species
CAAGUCGAACGAACCUUCGGGUGAGUGGCGAACGGGGUAGUAACAGGUGGGUACGAACCCAAGAGUCAGGGAUAGCCUAUUGAAAGAUAGGGUAAUACUUGAUAUCCCUACGGGGGAAAGAUUUAUCGCUCUUGGAUCGGCCUGCUCAGUAUCAGCUAGUUGGUGAGAUAAAAGCUCACCAAGGCUAUGACGCUUAGGGGAGGUGAGAGCCUGACCCCCACCAUUGGAACUGAGACACUGUCCAAACUCC